UGCCAACAGUCAAUAGUUUGGGGUGU
rnacentral:piRNA from 1 species